rnacentral:rRNA from 1 species
GCGGGAUGAGCUCAAGCUUAAAAUCUCUGUGCAGGUUCUGCAUGGCGAAUUGUAGUCUAUGGAGGCGAUGUCAGUGCGGUUGUGCGGGAUAAGUUCCUUGGAAGAGGACAGCAUCGAGGGUGAUACUCCCGUAUGUGCCUGUACAGCUGCGCGUACGACACGUUUUCUUUGAGUCGCGUUGUUUGGGAAUGCAGCGCAAAGUAGGUGGUAAAUUCCAUCUAAAGCUAAAUAUUGGUGCGAGACCGAUAGCGAACAAGUACCGUGAGGGAAAGAUGAAAAGAACUUUGAAAAGAGAGUUAAAGAGUACCUGAAACUGCUGAAAGGGAAUCGAAUCGUUUCCAGUGUCUAUAAUCCAUGACAUAUUUCAUUGGCGCGUGAAUGCGUGCAGCGUUUUGGAAGUGGGUUUCCUCUCCUGGCGUUGUUGUGCGUUUGCUUGCUGGUGCCCUGUGUUGUGGUGGGACGUCAGAGUCAGUUCGUAUGCCGCGGGAAAUGGCUGUCAGGGAGGUAGGUCGCUUCGGUGAUUGUUAUAGCCUGGCAGUUAGUAGUCGUGGUUGGGACUGAGGUGCCUACAACGCGCUUUCGAGUCUGCGGGACUCUCGUCUGGUUGCCUGCUUGGACAGCUUGCUGUGCUAGUGGUCACAUCGGGCGAUUGAGAUCUGUAGUAACUUGUUGCCGUUCGG